CACCUUUUUUUGCCUCACCUUUUUGUAUUUUCGAAGCCUAAACGACACCCUAAUGGGUUUGAUGGCUUUCGUGAUCGGAGGAGACCUCCGACAGCGGUGCGACACCAAGAGACAGGUGGCGGUGGAGUCAACGAUGGUGGUGGAAAGCACACCUUUACUGUUUUGGUGAGAUAGUGGCAGACCUCGGGCGGUGUUCGUGCUGACAUGGCGAAGGCAUAGGAGUAGCAACUGGAGUCUAGGGUUUAGUUUUUUGAAAGAAAGAGUUUAUUUUGUUGGGCCACUGGGCCAUGAAGUGUUUUUAUAAAUGGACUCUCUUUUUUUUUCUAUUAGACUUUAUUAUUUUUAUUUUAACUUGAUUUUUGUUUUAUUUGUUUAUAA